rnacentral:rRNA from 1 species
ACGUAGGGGGCAAGCGUUGAUCGGAAUCACUGGGCUUACAGCGCGUGUAGGCGGGGCGGCAGGUCUUCUGUGAAAGCCCCCGGCUCAACCGGGGAAUUGCAGGGGAACCGCCGCUCUUGAGGCAGGUAGAGGUGACCGGAACGUGUGGUGGAGCGGUGAAAUGCGUAGAUAUCACACGGAACGCCGGUGGUGAAAACGGGUCACUGGGCCGUACCUGACGCUAAGACGCGACAGCACGGGGAGCGAACGG